AUUAGCAGACAGCAAGGAACCACCCAAGAAAUCUAGACUUGUACUAUGCCUGGGUGGAUCUGUGCUCUUGUUGUCCGUAGCGGUCAUCGCAGCGGUGAGCGCCAUGAUUUAUCAAUAUUUUGCUCUGUCUGCAAAGAUGAACCACCUGACUGUCACUUGUAAGCCAGCUGACGUUGUCAAACAAUACCCGGGUUAUUUUCGGACACCACUGGAACAGAUCGAAGUAGAGCGGCGG